UCUACUGAUUCUUGGUCACUACCCUGAUACUAGACAAGCUGGGAGAUAAACAGUUGGGGGGGUGGUGGUGAGAAAAGCUCACAUACACAUCAAGGCAGCCUGUGAUGUGCAAGCACCCAAGCUGGAAGCUAUGUGUGUGGUGCUGUAACUCAGAGUAUAGCCGGUUCAUUUACAGAUAGCACGGAACGAAUACUGCUGAAGACCUCCGGGAGUGCCCCUGAUAGGCAGAAGUGGGGGAGACAUCAGAAGAAGGACUGGAACACAGCAAAGAGGCUGGAGCGAAGGCAAAGGUGGUGGCUGGGCACAACCAUCAGACGAAGUGGGAGGAAGAAACAUUAACUUCAACAGCUGUUUCUUGACCCCGGCUGUCAGUCUUCCCAAGAAUAAAUUUUGGAGAGUCCUAUUUGAAACAAAGAGGGAGUUUUGGGGGAGAGAAAAGUUGGUUGGUUCCAGGGCAGCCGCCCAAAGAAGCAGGGAACAAGAUGUUUGCAGUUACCAUGCAGCUUGCAAGCCUCUGCCGGGUGCAGGCAAGGAGCAAAGUAACUUGAAAGCUCCCCUCUCCGCGCCCUGUGCCUGCAGCUUCCCCCCCUAACGCGCGCCCAGAUCCAGCGCCGGUGGUAAGAGCCGAAGCUCGACUACAGUAAUUCCCCAGCUCGGGCGGCUUGAAACUGCUCGGGCUGAAUAGCAUUUGCUGUUCCGUCCUGUGGCAGCCUCCCGCCGCCGCUGCCGCGCUCCCUGCAAAGCAGCUCUCAUUAUCCCGGAAGUUGUGCUGACACAGUCUCGCUGCCACCAGAAGUUUGUCAACAUCAAACUUCUCCUGUGUGGGGUACGUUCACCUUCCACGAGUAUUUAAUCGAGCCAACAAGCAAACAAACAAACCCAAAUAAACCUGCCCGUGAUGUCAUGGUCUUCCCCCCCCCCCACUCUUUUCCUGGAAGGGCUGGGGGCUGUUUGGAAUUUGCUGGUGGGUUCUGAGAGCGCCUAUGGGUUUCUGGGGGGCUGGGUUUGGGGGGGGGCAGGGACCGGUCCGGGUGGGCAGUGAGGAAGGGGCUGCGGGGAGCAGUGCGGGGCUGUUGGGGUUGGAGGCUGGAGGGCUUGCAGAGAGAGCUGGGGCCAAGCGGCAGUUUGGUCCUGCAGCCUGUUGGCUUCCGCUUGUUUUGAGGUUGCACCAACUGGGCGAAGGUGGCUUUGCAUCCUAGCCCGCCACAAAGGUUAUUUGGAAGCAGCGGCCAGGAAAAGCAGGAGAGUGCCCCCACUCCCAUGCCCACUAUGCAUUUAACACUCUUACAGGACGUUUAAACCUCUUUCGGAAUAAAGGGCGUUGGGGUCAUAAAAUGCAUUUUGAGACUUAACACUGCCACACAAGGUGAAUCCUGGGAUAUGACCACGUCUGUCUUUAGUGGGUCUCUUCAGAUACCAAGACGGGCUCUCUAAACUUCAGACUCCGUGCCUCUCAACUCCCCUUAGUUUAAGUUGCCAGGAACCUGGUUUGGUUGUUUGUGGUUUCCAGUUGCUCCCCACUUAGAUGCUUUGGUGCUCCCCCAAAGCUGGAGUGAGAGUGGACAGGGCAGCUGGGAUUAACCCUUUCCCUUCCGUACGUAGUACUUACGUUUAGACCUUCGAUCCUGCUCAGAGGUUGGGUGGGCCUGAAGGAACUGAGAGGAACGGGCCUUCUUGAAAUAAGGCUGCCUGCACACCACAGUUUUUCCAGCCAGGGGUUGAUGAAAGUUGCUGAUUCUGAGUUUGGCUCUAAUUUCCAAGGGCUAAGAGCUACAACACUCAAAUCCAGGAUCUUAGAUAAUGAGGAUGAUACCCCUCCAUUUCCCAUCCCCAUCUUGCAAUGUCAGUUUAUACAGGGGCAACUAAAAGGGCCCAGUGUCUCAACAGUGAGCUGACCAAAGCCUGCCUUCUUGACUUGAAGUUGUAUCCGCUGAGGAGACAGCAGUAUUGUUCCUUGUCCUCAAAAAUAAAUUUGAGUGGAAAUAAACAACUCCAAAGAGAAUUAUCCAACUGUACCAUUGCUGGAACGGGGAGGAAGUUGAAUCCACUUAGGGAGCCAGAAGCUAAGUUUUUCUUCUUGUUGGUCUGCCCUUAAUGACUAUGGGCUUAGAAAAAUUAGCCUGUAGGCGUGUAUCUUCAAUAACAAGAAGACACUCUCCUUGUUUUUCAAGCUAACCUAAACAGGGAAAUUGUACUGGCCUCUAGGGCCCAGCUCAUCUCAGAUAUACACCAAACCGCCUAACAACCAGAGGGGACAGAAUGCCAAACCUAAAGACUGGGUAAGGGAGGCAUUUCUCAGGAUUGGAAUUUACUUUUGACAAAUCCAUAGAUUUAACUCCAAUCAUAAGACAGGAUGUCCUUACAUAUAUGUGGUCCCACACAUGUAAACCACCCCCAAAGCACAGGGGGAAAUGCGUUUUGCUAAAAAUACAGUUGCUCACUAGAAUGAAUUUUCCCAUUUGGCCAUGCUUCAAAACUUUCCAAAUAUCCAGACUUCUUUUCUUAAGGUUAUAUUUUAAUCUUAUUUAUUUCCUCAUAAUCCACAAAUAUGACUCAACAUGUACCACAGUGGAUGCUGUGAAUCGAGGAGAUGUGGAGGAUCCCAUCUCUAACUCCAUAUGCAUGAAUAUUUUGUCCUGGUUGUUAAUCUGUCAUAGUGUAAAAAGCCUGAUUUAUAAAGGCCGUAGGGCUUUAGCAGAAUAAGGUCUUGCGUGGUUCAUACAGUUGGGUUUAUUUACAAAUAAAACUAUUUUGCAUUUCUGCCUUUGAUUUCCUAGUUUCACAAGGAUAAUUUCCAGAGUUUACUGUUUCCCCUUCAAAAGUGGGAGCAGUGACCACAAGGAAACAAUUUCUUCAUACAGCGAUGUGAGCUCUGUGCGCAUCUGGCUUUGGUUACUUUGUAAGGUAAAUAUCACUAAAUGUUCAUCAGAAUCUUUGGGGAUGGAAGGCACUGGACUUGUGAGGACAGUCUACUACGAAAUACUGGGAGUGCAGUGCAGAAGAAUGUCAAACAACUGGGUCCCUUCACAGAGGUAAUUGGGUCAACCCUGGUAUUCUUGAAAGUGGAGAUUGAUUUGAAAAAAAAAA
rnacentral:sRNA from 1 species